AUACGGAGGGGGUUAGCGUUGUUCGGAAUUACUGGGCGUAAAGCGCACGUAGGCGGAUUAAAAAGUUAGAGGUGAAAUCCCAGGGCUCAACCCUGGAACUGCCUUUAAAACUAGUAGUCUAGAGUUCGAGAGAGGUGAGUGGAAUUCCAAGUGUAGAGGUGAAAUUCGUAGAUAUUUGGAGGAACACCAGUGGCGAAGGCGGCUCACUGGCUCGAUACUGACGCUGAGGUGCGAAAGCGUGGGGAGCAAACAGGAUUAGAAACCCUAGUAGUCC
rnacentral:rRNA from 1 species